GGGCUAUAACUCAGUGAUUGACCAUCUGCUUUGCAUGCAAAAGGACCUAGGUUCAAUCCCUGGCAUGUCCC